rnacentral:rRNA from 1 species
UACAGAGGGUGCAAGCGUUGUUCGGAAUUACUGGGCGUAAAGGGUGCGUAGGUGGGUUUGUAAGUCAGUGGUGAAAUCUCCAAGCUUAACUUGGAAACUGCCGUUGAUACUAUAAAUCUUGAAUGUUGUGGAGGUGAGCGGAAUAUGUCAUGUAGCGGUGAAAUGCUUAGAUAUGACAUAGAACACCAAUUGCGAAGGCAGCUCACUACACAAAGAUUGACACUGAGGCACGAAAGCGUGGGGAUCAAACAGG